rnacentral:lncRNA from 1 species
UCCAAUUCAACUACAACUGCGUAGACUCCUAAAGAAAAGAGAAGUUCCUGCAUAUGUUUAGUAUUUUUUCUUCUUUUUCUAUCAAUUGCUUUCUAUUACCCAUCUAAAACAGCUCAUCUCCCUUGUAUGAUAUUGACCUCGCACCAACACUCUGUUAGUCUCUAUGCAAAAGUUGAUCAACACAAAAGUAAUUCCACAAGCUUUUGUUGUGAAAUCUGUCCUUUGCUAUGAAUUGAAGGCCUUGAUUCAUGGCUUAACGAAGGAAUUCUUGACAUUCUUUUGAUGAAGAGGUAAGUUUCUCUUGAUGUAGUGUAGGAUUUUUUAGAAAAUUUAAUUACUAUCUAUUUCUUAUUUUAUUAUUUGAUUCACUAAUUAGUGUUAGUUUUGUGAUUUAAGUUUGAAGAUAUAUUUUAUUUAAAUCACGAAAUUAGAAAGUAUGUAAUACUAAUUUUUUUCCUUUUCACAGGUAUACGAAGGUGCAAAAAGUGUGAGUUUUAACCAAGGGACGCUGCACACAUGAGGAAGCAACAUACCUAUUUUUUUUUUUUUUUUAGCAUUAACAUGUAUUUUAAUUAGAUCUUUUGUGUUUGAGGGCUUUUAGUUUGUAGUUUGUACUCAGAUGUUAUCUUAGAACAAUUAUAGAUGUAUAGUACAUAUUUUUUGUAUGAAUUUUGGUAUUAUAUUUCUCUUUUAUUUCUGUGAUGUUUUUGGUUUACAUAAGAG